rnacentral:rRNA from 1 species
GAUGAACGCUAGCUACAGGCUUAACACAUGCAAGUCGAGGGGAAACGACAUUGAAGCUUGCUUCUAUGGGCGUCGACCGGCGCACGGGUGAGUAACGCGUAUCCAACUUGCCUCUGACUAAGGGAUAACCCGGCGAAAGUCGGACUAAUACCUUAUGAGGUUUUCUGCAGACAUCUAACGAAAACGAAAGAUUUAUCGGUCAGCGAUGGGGAUGCGUCUGAUUAGCUUGUUGGCGGGGUAACGGCCCACCAAGGCAACGAUCAGUAGGGGUUCUGAGAGGAAGGUCCCCCACAUUGGAACUGAGACACGGUCCAAACUCCUACGGGAGGCAGCAGUGAGGAAUAUUGGUCAAUGGGCGAGAGCCUGAACCAGCCAAGUAGCGUGCAGGAUGACGGCCCUAUGGGUUGUAAACUGCUUUUAUGUGGGGAUAAAGUGAGCUACGUGUAGUUUAUUGCAGGUACC